GCCUCGAAUGACAAGUUGCCCAGUGUGAGUUGUAGGUAGCUUCUAAGUCCCUGUUCUUCAGGGAGAACCUACUUGGGAUCCUACAUUCAAAUGAGAUGUAUCGGCAUUUACUGAGGU